rnacentral:rRNA from 1 species
CCUACGGGUGACAGCAGUGGGGAAUAUUGGGCAAUGGGCGCAAGCCUGACCCAGCAACGCCGCGUGAAGGAAGAAGGCUUUCGGGUUGUAAACUUCUUUUAAGAGGGAAGAGCAGUAGACGGUACCUCUUGAAUAAGCCACGGCUAACUACGUGCCAGCAGCAGCGGUAAUACGUAGGUGGCAAGCGUUGUCCGGAUUUACUGGGGGUAAAGGGCGUGUAGCCGGGCUGACAAGUCAGUUGUGAAAUCCCGUGGCUCAACCUCGGAACUGCAUUUGAAACUGUCGGUCUUGAGUAACGGAGAGGCUGGCGGAAUUCCGAGUGUAGCGGUGAAAUGCGUAGAUAUUAGGAGGAACACCAGUGGCGAAGGCGGCCUGCUGGGCGACAACUGACGGUGAGGCGCGAAAGCGUGGGGAGCAAACAGGAUUAGAUACCCGAGUAGUC